AUAACCUACGGGGCGCAGCAGUAGGGAAUCUUCCACAAUGGACGAAAGUCUGAUGGAGCAACGCCGCGUGAGUGAAGAAGGGUUUCGGCUCGUAAAUCUUUGUUGGUAGUGAAGAAAGAUAGAGGUAGUAACUGGCCUUUAUUUGACGGUAAUUACUUAGAAAGUCACGGCUAACUACGUGCCAGCAGCCGCGGUAAUAAGUAGGUGGCAAGCGUUGUCCGGAUUUAUUGGGCGUAAAGCGAGUGCAGGCGGUUCAAUA
rnacentral:rRNA from 1 species